rnacentral:lncRNA from 1 species
UUCUUUUUUUGUUUAGGAACGAUUGCUUUGUUCUUUUUUGUUUCUGAUUGCUUUUUUCAUUAAUUUGAUUGCCCAAUCUCUUCUAUCUCAUUGAGGAUUUUUUUUUUUGCUUUCCUUUAUGGGUCCCUUCAUUUUUUAGAAUCAAAGUAUUUGCAAACCGCAGUAUUAUUAUGCCUAGCGAACCAAUACUUCAUGAUUGGAAAAAGAGGUCCAACCCUCUUUUUUAUAUACUUCAAACAUAGUGUAGUUUUCUACAUAUUAAAGUAUAUAAAACUACACUUUUGACUAACGCCAAACAUCUCAAAGUAUUUGAUACUUCAAUAUUUCUGAAAACCAAAGUAUUCUUGGAAUACCUAAAAAAUACAGAGCUCUCAAACCAAAGCCGUGUACAAAUGUACAAUAUGUUCUUAUUUUUAGAAGGCAUCUAUAAACACAUCAUUUUUAGUUAGUUUGGUUAAUUUUUCCCACGCCAAUUAGCCGUGUCUAAACUUGGGACAAACAAAAUACAAACAUAACAAAGCAUUAAUAUAACACACAUAACUUAACUUAGAUAGGGUUGCUAGGGCAACAUAAGUUCUUACAUAUAACACGACACCGAUACAUAAUAAUAAUUAACCUUACAUAGAUAGGGUAGCUAGGUCGGGCAACACACACACCAAACUCACACUACAUAGUAGAUAGGGUAGCUAGGGCAACACCGCCAUGUCUUCACCGUCGUCUUCACAUUAACCGCCGGCUUCACCGUCUUCUUCGCCGCCGGCUUCAGUACUGCUCCUCCUCAAGGCCAUUGUCGCUGAGGUAGUACGGGAGGUUGUGCAUGCGGUUGCGAGCGGGGAAGAUGCUCUCGAAGUCGGUGAAGAUGUUAUAGGUGGUGAAUGCGAUGAACUCGCACCCACACCAAUACACCUUGCCGAGCAGGUAGUAGGCAUCGAACCUGUUGGUGAAGUGGACGACGAGCCCUACCACUGGAGCGUUGGCGUGGGGACGCUGCUCCACGAGGUUGAACAUGGGCGGCGAGCCCGCCGGGAGGUGGUGGAAGCCCGCACGGAGGAACCCCCAUGCAAGCUCAGUGCUACCCCUCCAGCGUGAGAACGCCCACACGCGGAGCGAUGCCUCGACGACGACGUUGGCGGGGUACCGCCAUUCCGGCACGGUGGGCGGUCUUGGAAUGUCGGCCCGUUGUACUGCAUCUUGAACGCUUCGCUGAGUGGAACGGCUUUGGCUUUUGGGCGAAGAAGAGAAGUGGUAGGCGCAGAUGGAUCUGUAGAAGAAGAGGCAAUGAAGGGCAGUUUAAAUAGUCGGGGGAGACGAAGUGGGUACACGCGCAAACAGCGUAGAUCGUGACUCAGUGCGUGCGUGAACCGAUGCAAUCAUCAAUGUGUGAACGUGAAUCGAUGCGAACGUGCUUUGCGUGCUCUGCGUUGGCGGCUGCCUCAACUGAAUCGAGCGGCAGCCGUGCGGCGUGAACCGAUGCCUCGACAUAUGGACGCGAGCGUGCGUGCAGCCUGCCCCUUCUGCCACCGGCAUGUAUGCCUGCGACGCGUGAAACGAUGCUGCAGAGCGACUGAAUCCACCGGCAACCGUGCGGCACGGAUCGAUGCGUGCUUGUCGGCGUGCAUGCAUGCGUUUAGGUCUAGGUCACUAGAUGUGUGCGUGGCGGUGUUCGCAUGCAUAGCAGGCUACAUCAAUGCCAAAGUCGGGCAUGCAUAGCAGGUUGCAUCCAUCGAUAGCAGGCUAUGAACACAAACACGGCCCAACCAGCGAAGCCACAACCACAGUCAACAGAGUCCAACGUGGCCCCACAAGUGAGUUAACGGCCAAGACGGCAAAUGUCUGUUAUGAACAUUUGUGAGAGUUUCAGCUAAGGGAGUGGGGAAAAGUGAGCAAAAGUUUGAAGCGUGGGGAAAACUGAGCACAACUAAGGAAUUGGGGGCAUAGAUGGAAUAAGCCCUAAUAUUUUUGGUAUUUUUAUGAUAAAGACUAAAAGUAAAGAAAGAAAAAUAAACGGCGCCAGAGAUAGCUUGUUGACGGGAGAUUAAUAUGAUGGAAAAUAGACCCGGGGGCCAUAGGUUUCACUAGUGGCUUCUCUCAAGAUAGCAUAAGUAUUACGGUGGGUAAAGGAAUUACUGUCGAGCAAUUGAUAGGAUUGAGCAUAGUUAUGAGAAUAUCUAGGUAUGAUCAUGUAUAUAGGCAUCACGUCCGUGACAAGUAGACCGACUCCUGCCCGCAUCUACUACUAUUACUCCACACAUCGACCGCUAUCCAGCAUGCAUCUAGAGUAUUAAGUUCAUAAGAACGGAGUAACGCUUUAAGCAAGAUGACAUGAUCUAGAGGGAUAAACUCAUGCAAUAUGAUAUAAACCCCAUGUUUUUAUCCUUGAUGGCAACAAUACAAUACGUGUCCUUUCCCCUACUGUCACUGGGAUCGAGCACCACAAGAUUGAACCCAAAGCUAAGCACUUCUCCCAUUGCAAGAAAGAUCAAUCUAGUAGGCCAAACCAAACCGAUAAUUCAAAGAGACUUGCAAAGAUAACCAAUCAUACAUAAAAGAAUUCAGAGGAGAUUCAAAUAUUGUUCAUAGAUAAUCUUGAUCAUAAACCCACAAUUCAUCGGAUCUCGACAAACACACCGCAAAAAGAAGAGUUACAUCAAAUAGAUCUCCAAGAGAAUCGAGGAGAACUUUGUAUUGAGAUCCAAAGAGAGAGAAGAAGCCAUCUAGCUAAUAACUAUGGACCCGAAGGUCUGAGGUAAACUACUUACACAUCAUCGGAGAGGCUAUGGUGUUGAUGUAGAAGCCCUCCGUGAUCGAUGCCACCUCCGGCAGGACGCCGGAAAAGGCCCCAAGAUGGGAUCUCACGGGUACAGAAGGUUGCGGCGGUGGAAUUAGGUUUUCGUGGUGCUCCUCGAUGGUUUGGGGGUACGUAGGUAUAUAUAGGAGGAAGAAGUAGGUCGGUGGAGCCACGAGGGGCCCAUGAGGGUGGAGGGCGUGCCUGGGGGGUGAGCGCCCCCCUGCCUCGUGGCCGCCUCAUUGGUUGCUUGACGUCCACUCCAAGUCCUCUAGAUCACGUUUGUUCCAAAAAUCACGUUCCCAAAGGUUUCAUUCCGUUUGGACUCCGUUUGAUAUUCUUUUUCUGCGAAACACUGAAAUAGGCAAAAAAACAGCAAUUUGGGCUGGGACUCCGGUUAAUAGGUUAGUCCCAAAAAUAAUAUAAAAGUGUAUAAUAAAGCCCAUUAAUCAUCCAAAACAGAAUAUAAUAUAGCAUGGAACAAUCAAAAAUUAUAGAUACAUUGGAGACGUAUCAAGCAUCCCCAAGCUUAAUUCCUGCUCGUCCUCGAGUAGGUAAAUGAUAAAAACAGAAUUUUUGAUGUGGAAUGCUACUUGACAUAAUUUUCAAUGUAAUUCUCUUAUUUGUGGUAUGAAUAUUCAGAUCUGAAAGAUUCAAGAUAAAAGUUUAAUAUUGACAUAAAAGUAAUAAUACUUCAAGCAUACUAACUAAGCAAUUAUGUCUUCUCAAAAUAACAUGGCCAAAGAAAGUUCAUCCCUACAAAAUCAUAUAGUUUGGCAUGCUCCAUUUUCGUCACACAAGAAUGCUCUCAUCAUGCACAACCCCGAUGACAAGCCAAGCAAUUGUUUCAUACUUUAGUAAUCUCAAACCUUUUUCAACUUUCACGCAAUAUAUGAGCGUGAGCCAUGGAUAUAGCACUAUGGGUGGAAUAGAAUAUGAUGAUCGGGGUUAUGUGGAGAAGACAAAAAAGGAGAAAGUCUCACAUUGACGUGGCUAAUCAAUGGGAUAGGGAGAUGCCCAUCAAUUGAUGUUAAUGCAAGGAGUAGGGAUUGCCAAGCAACGGAUGCACUAGAGCUAUAAAUGUAUGAAAGCUCAACAAAAAAAACUAAGUGGGUGUGCAUCCAACUUGCUUGCUCACGAAGACCUAGGGCAUUUGAGGAAGCCCAUUGUUGGAAUAUACAAUCCAAUUUCUAUAAUGAAAAAUUCCCACUAGUAUAUGAAAGUGACAAAACAAGAGACUCUCUAUCAUAAAAAUCAUGGUGCUACUUUGAAGCACAAGUGUGGAAAAGAGGAUAGUAGCAUUGUCCUUUUUUUUUUGGUACUUCUUUUUUUAUUUGGCCUUUCUCUUUUUUUUUGGGACAAUGCUCUAUGAAUGAUGAUCAUCACACUUCUAUUUAUUUACAACUCAAUGAUUACAACUCGAUACUAGAACAAAGUAUGACUCUAUAUGAAUGCCUCCGGCGGUGUACCGGGAUGGGCAAUGAAUCAAGAGUGACAUGUAUGAAAUAAUAUGCAUGGUGGCUUUUCCACAAAUACGAUGUCAACUACAUGAUCAUGCAAGGCAAUAUGACAAUGAUGAAAACGUGUCAUGAUAAACGGAACGGUGGAAAGUUGCAUGGCAAUAUAUCUCGGAAUGGCUAUGCAAAUGCCAUAAUAGGUAGGUAUGGUGGCUGUUUUGAGGAAGAUAUAAGGAGUUUUAUGUGUGAUAGAGCGUAUCGUAUCACGGGGUUUGGAUGCACCGGCGAAGUUUGCACCAACUCUCAAGGUGAGAAAGGGCAAUGCACGGUACCGAAGAGGCUAGCAAUGAUGGAAGGGUGAGAGUGCGUAUAAUCCAUGGACUCAACAUUAGUCAUAAAAAAACUCACAUACUUAUUGCAAAAAUCUACAAGUCAACAAAAACCAAGCACUACGCGCAUGCUCCUAGGGGGAUAGAUUGGUAGGAAAAGACCAUCGCUCGUCCCCGACCGCCACUCAUAAGGAGGACAAUCAAAGAACACCUCAUGUUUCAAAUUUGUUACACAACGGUUACCAUACGUGCAUGCUACGGGACUUGCAAACUUCAACACAAGUAUUUCUCAAAUUCACAACUACUCAACUAGCACAACUUUAAUAUCACUACCUCCAUAUCUCAAAACAAUCAUCAAGCAUCAAACUUUUCUUAGUAUUCAACGCACUUAAAAGAAAGUUUUUUACUAAUCUUGGAUGCCUAUCAUAUUAGGAAUAAUUUCUCAAUUUAAGAAAAUUACCAUGCUGUUCUGUAGGACUCUCAAAAUGAUAUAAGUGAAGCAUGAGAGAACAAUAGUUUCUAUAAAACAAAACCACCGCCGUGCUCUAAAAGAUAUAAGUGAAGCACUAGAGCAAAAACUAUAUAGCUCAAAAGAUAUAAGUGAAGCACAAAGAGUAUUCUAAUAAAUUCCGAAUCAUGUGUGUGUCUCUCGAAAGGUGUGUACAGCAAGGAUGAUUGUGGUAAACUAAAAAGCAAAGACUCAAAUCAUACAAGACGCUCCAAGCAAAACACAUAUCAUGUGGUGAAUAAAAAUAUAGCUCCAAGUAAAGUUACCGAUGGACGAAGACGAAAGAGGGGAUGCCUUCCGGGCAUCCCCAAGCUUUGGCUUUUUGGUGUCCUUAGAUUUACCUUGGGGUGCCUUGGGCAUCCCCAAGCUUAGGAUCUUGCCACUCCUUGUUCCAUAAUACAUCAAAUCCUUACCCAAAACUUGAAAACUUCACAACACAAAACUUAACAGAAAAUCUCGUGAGCUCCGUUAGCAAAAGAAAACAAAACACCACUUCAAGGUACUGUAUUUAACUCAUUCUUUAUUUAUAUUGGUUUUAAACCUACUGUAUUCCUACUUCUCUAUGGUUUAUAAACUCUUUUACUAGCCAUAGAUUCAUCAAAAUAAGCAAACAACACACGAAAAACAGAAUCUGUCAAAAACAGAACAGUCUGUAGUAAUCUGUAACUAACGCAAACUUUUGGAACUCAAAAAAAUCUACCAAAAUAGGAAGACCUAAACAAUUUGUUUAUUGAUCUGCUGCAAUCGGAAUCAAUAUUUUAUCACGUUCUGGUGAUUUUUAACAAUUGUUUUCGUGAACAGAAAGUUUCUGGAAUUUUCAGCAAGAUCAAAUAACUAUUAUCCAAGAAGAUCCUAUAGGUUUAACUUGGCACAAACACUAACUAAAACACAAAAACAAAUAUAACCAGAGUCUAGAUCAAAGAUUUAUUCCUAAACAGAAGCAAAAAGCAAAAAAACUAAAAUAAAAUUGGGUUGCCUCCCAACAAGCGCUAUCGUUUAACGCCCCUAGCUAGGCAUAAAAGUAAGGAUAGAUCUAUGUAUUGCCAUCUUUGGUAGGCAAUCCAUAAGUGGCUCUCAUAAUAGAUUCAUAAGGUAAUUUUAUUUUCUUUCUAGGAAAGUGUUCCAUGCCUUUCCUUAACGGAAAUUGGAAUCUAAUAUUGCCUUCCUUCAUAUCAAUAAUUGCACCAAUCGUUCUAAGGAAAGGUCUACCAAGAAUAAUAGGACAUGAAGGAUUGCAAUCUAUGUCAAGAACAAUAAAAUCUACGGGCACAUAGUUCCUAUUUGCAAAAAUAAGAACAUCAUUAAUUCUUCCCAUAUGUUUCUUAAUGGUGGAAUCCGCAAGGUGCAAGUUUAGAGAACAAUCAUCAAAUUCACGGAAACCUAACAAAUCACAUAGAGUUUUUGGAAUCGUGGAAACACUAGCACCCAAAUCACACAAAGCAUAGAAUUCAUGAUCUUUAAUUUUAAUUUUUAAUUGUAGGUUCCCAUUCAUCAUAAAGUUUUCUAGGGAUAGAAACUCCCAACUCAAGUUUUUCUUCAUAAGAUUGCAUCAAAGCAUCAACGAUAUGUUUAGUAAAAGCUUUAUUUUGACUAUAAUCAUGAGGAGAAUUUAGCAUGGAUUGCAACAAGGAAAUACAAUCUAUCAAAGAGCAAUUAUCAUAAUUAAAUUCCUUGAAAUCCAAGAUAGUGGGUUCAUUGAUAUCUAAAGUUUUGACCUCUUCAAUCCCACUUUUACCAAAUUUUGCAUCAAGAUCUAAAAACUCUGAAUUUUUGGGACGCCUUCUAACCAAAGUUGACUCAUCUCCAGUCCCAUCAUUAUCAAGAUUCAUAUUGCAAAACAAAGAUUUAAUAGGGGACACAUCAAUAACUUUUAGAUCUUCAUCUUUACUCUCAUAAAAAUUAGAAGAAUGCGCUUUUACAAAGCAAUCUUUCUUAGCACUCAUCCUAGCGGUUCUUUCUUUGCACUCAUCAAUGGAAAUUCUCAUAGCUUUGAGAGACUCAUUGAUAUCAUGCUUAGGUGGAAUAGAUCUAAGCUUCAAAGAAUCAACAUCAAGAGAAAUUAUAUCCACGUUCCUAGCCAAUUCAUCAACUUUAAGCAAUUUUUCUUCAAGCAAAGUAUUGAAAUUCUUUUGUGAAUUCAUAAACUCUUUAACACUAGUUUCAAAAUCAGAGGGAAACUUAUUAAAAUUUCCAUAAGAAUUGUUGUAGGAAUUACCAUAAUUAUUAGAGGAAUUGCUAGGAUACGGCCUAGGAUUAAAGUUUCCUCUAUACGCGUUGUUAGCAAAAUUAUUCCUACCAACAAAAUUCACAUCCAUAGAUUCAUUAUUAUUCUCAAUCAAGGUAGACAAAGGCAUAUCAUUAGGAUCAGAAGAAACACUCUUAUUAGCAAACAAUUUCAUAAGUUCAUCCAUCUUUCCACUCAAAACAUUAAUUUCUUCUAUCGCAUGCACCUUUUUACUAGUAGAUCUUUCGGUAUGCCAUUGAGAAUAAUUAACCAUAAUAUUAUCUAGGAGUUUGGUAGCUUCUCCUAAAGUGAUUUCCAUAAAAGUGCCUCCCGCGGCCGAAUCUAAAAGAUUUCUAGAAGCAAAAUUCAAUCCGGCAUAAAAAAAAAUUAGAAUCAUCCACAAAUUCAAACCAUGAGUAGGGCAAUUACGUAUCAUUAAUUUUAUCCUCUCCCAAGCUUGUGCAACAUGUUCAUGAUCAAGUUGCUUAAAAUUCAUAAUAUCGUUUCUAAGAGAGAUGAUCUUAGCGGGAGGGAAAUACUUAGAGAUAAAAGCAUCUUUGCACUUAUUCCAAGAAUCAAUACUAUUUUUAGGCAAAGACGAAAACCAGGUUUUAGCGCGAUCUCUAAGAGAAAACGGAAAUAGCUUCAAUUUAACAAUAUCAUUGUCCACAUCUUUCUUCUUUUGCAUAUCACACAAAUCAACAAAGCUAUUUAGAUGGGUAGCGGCAUCUUCACUAGGAAGGCCGGCGAAUUGAUCUUUCAUGACAAGAUUCAGCAAAGCAGCAUUAAUUUCACAAGAUUCAGCAUCGGUAAGAGGAGCAAUCGGAGUGCUAAGAAAAUCAUUGUUAUUGGUAUUGGUAAAGUCACACAAUUUUGUAUUGUCUUGAGCCAUCAUGACAAGCAAGCAAUCCAACACACGAGCAAACAAAAAGCAAGCGAAAAAGAGGCGAACGGAAAAAGAGGGCGAAUAAAACGGCAAGGGUGAAGUGGCGGAGAGGAAAACGAGAGGCAAAUGGCAAAUAAUGUAAUGCGAGGGAUAAGAGUUUGUGAUGGGUACUUGGUAUGUCUUGACUUGUGCGUAGCCUCCCCGGCAACGGCGCCAGAAAUCCUUCUUGCUACCUCUUGAGCACUGCGUUGGUUUUCCCUCGAAGAGGAAAGGGUGAUGCAUUAAAGUAGCAUAAGUAUUUACCUCAGUUUUUAAGAACCAAGGUAUCAAUCCAGUAGGAGACCACGCUCGAGUCCCACGCACCUACACAAACAAAUAAGAACCUCGCAACCAACACGAUAAAGGGGUUGUUAAUCCCUUCACGGUCACUUACGAGAGUGAGAUCUGAUAGAGAUGAUAAGAUAAUAUUUUUGGUAUUUUUAUGAUAAAGACUAAAAGUAAAGAAAGCAACAUAAACGGCGCCAGAGAUAGCUUGUUGACGGGAGAUUAAUAUGAUGGAAAAUAGACCCGGCGGCCAUAGGUUUCACUAGUGGCUCCUCUCAAGAUUGCAUAAGUAUUACGGUGGGUAAACGAAUUACUGUCGAGCAAUUGAUAGAAUUGAGCAUAGUUAUGAGAAUAUCUAGGUAUGAUCAUGUAUAUAGGCAUCAUGUCCGUGACAAGUAGACCGACUCCUGCAUGCAUCUACUACUAUUACUCCACAUAUCGACCGCUAUCCAGCAUGCACCUAGAGUAUAAAGUUCAUAAGAACAGAGUAACGCUUUAAGCAAGAUGACAUGAUGUAGAGGGAUAAACUCAUGCAAUAUGAUAUAAACCCCAUCUUUUUAUCCUCGAUGGCAACAAUACAAUACGUGUCGUUUCCCCUACUGUCAUUGGGAUCGAGCACCGCAAGAUUGAACCCAAAUCUAAGCACUUCUCCCAUUGCAAGAAAGAUCAAUCUAGUAGGCCAAACCAAACCGAUAAUUCAAAGAGACUUGCAAAGAUAACCAAUCAUACAUAAAAGAAUUCAGAGGAGAUUCAAAUAUUGUUCAUAGAUAAUCUUGAUCAUAAACCCACAAUUCAUCGGAUCUCGACAAACACACCGCAAAAAGAAGAGUUACAUCAAAUAGAUCUCCAAGAGAAUCGAGGAGAACUUUGUAUUGAGAUCCAAAGAGAGAGAAGAAGCCAUCUAGCUAAUAACUAUGGACCCGAAGGUCUGAGGUAAACUACUCACACAUCAUCGGAGAGGCUAUGGUGUUGAUGUAGAAGCCCUCCGUGAUCGAUGCCCCCUCCGGCUGGACCCGGAAAAGGCCCCAAUAUGGGAUCUCAUGAGUACAGAAGGUUGCGGCGGUGGAAUUAGGUUUUCGUGGUGCUCCUCGAUGGUUUGGGGGUACGUAGGUAUAUAUAGGAGGAAGAAGUAGGUCGGUGGAGCCACGAGGGUGGCGGGCGCGCCUGGGGGGGUGGGCGCCCCCUGCCUCGUGGCCGCCUCGUUGGUUGCUUGACGUCCACUCCAAGUCCUCUGGAUCACGUUUGUUUCGAAAAUCACGUUCCCGAAGGUUUCAUUCCGUUUGGACUCCGUUUGAUAUUCUUUUUCUGUGAAACACUGAAAUAGGCAAAAAAAAUAGCAAUUUGGGCUGGGCCUCUGGUUAAUAGGUUAGUCCGAAAAAUAAUAUAAAAGUGUAUAAUAAAGCCCAUUAAUCAUCCAAAACAGAAUAUAAUAUAGCAUGGAACAAUCAAAAAUUAUAGAUACGUUGGGGACGUAUCACCCCACAAGCUUCGAAAGGGGUGAAGAAUUCUCCAAAGAAUGGGAAAGGCGUCAGGCCAAGUUGGCAAAACAGGCCAAGAAAGCCAUUGAGGAAUUCAACACGGACUCAAAGGCCUCAGCUGAAGCAAAUGGCAAUGGCAGUGCCAGUGCAUCGAAGAAAUAUAUGCAGAAGAAGCCUACACACAAGCCCAAGCCAUCAGAUCCAAAGCCCUCAGUGGCCAAGCCGACUCCUUCAAAGCCCUAAGUGCCCAAGACUGCAAAAUCUUCAGUGCCUGCACUAGUCGCAAGUUCAUCAGUGGCUCCAGCAAAAGAUUCAAUGCCGGUUGUCCUUGCAUCUUGCCAGCACACCAAAGGCUUUCCAACAGCCACCAUUGAUGUAUCAAGUGCCUCAGCUAGUGGGCAUAUAUCUUCAUCUACACCCAAGCUGAAGACAAAGGUCACUGUUGGCCGUGGCACCAGGCCAAGUCCCAAGAGCAAGGCCGUAGUGCCUCAAGCUGAUGAACACGAGAUGGCAGAUGAGGAUGAGCUUGCUGAUUUCCUCGGAAGAAGACAAGAACAAGCUACCAUCGCCAAGAAGUCUUCAGUUCCUCUAUUGCUUGACUCAAAGAAGCUUCUGGACUUCAUUGAUGUAUGGUGCAAGAAACCUGAUACUCCACUUGAUGAUCUUGACUUGCCACCAUGUCCAAGCCGCUCUCUUCCUUCAUCCUGAAUGAGAAGCACAAGAUUGCUCAAGCCAAGCUAGUGAAGAAACAGCAACAGCAAAAAGAGAAGGAGUUGAGGAAAAACAUGCUUUCCAUAUCUCCUAAGAAGCUUGUGACUCUCCAAUCAGAAAUCCAACGGUUUUCUGAAGAAUAUGAGCGCCAAGCCAAUUACUGUUGUGGUGUCAAAGACAUAUUCAUCUCAGUCACCACCAAAGUGGUUGAAGACCACAAUAGAAAGGAGGCUGCCAAGUUUGGUCAAGCACCUCCCAUCAAGUUCAUCAGCCCCCCGGCAAGCUGCACAGGCCAGUGAAUCUGCACCCUCACCUCCUCUGCAAGAUCAUGCCAAGGCAACUAAAGAAGUUGCGCCUGAAGAAACUGCCAGGGCGACUACAUCGGUCAUGCCUGAAAAAAUGCUCCACCAAGUUCCUCAGCAACAACGCCUUCAACGACUUCAUCCUUGAAGAUCAUCACUCCUCCUUCUGCAUUAGAAGCGAAGAAGACCAAGGCUGCUGAGAAGGAAGCCAAGAAGAGAAAAGCUUCAACUCCUCCUACUUCCACUGAAUCAGUGAAGAAACUGAAAACGGGCCCAUUGUCUUCAGUCAUUCCAAUAGAUGCAACUCCAAUUUCAUUAGCGCCCCCUGCUCGUACCACUGACGAUCAUCAGAUUGUUCCUUUUGGGGUGGAAUGCGUCAUUCCUCCAGCUGAUGAUGAUGAAAAAAAUGAUACCCAUCAUGCUGCUACCACAGAGCAAAUGGAUGAAGAGAUUGAAGUGGAAGCAGAUGCUUCACUUCAUCAUGUGUCGUCGCAGAAGCCCUCCCAAGCUCCGUUGACCGAAGAAGUUGCUACUGCUUCAUUUUGAAGCAGUGAAGCUACUGAAGAGGAUGUGGACAUUGACGAUGCUACCACACCUGUACUCCAUGAUGAAUUUUGGGAAGCAGCACAUCCCAAUUCACCAGUCACCACACCUUUGACUCAAGUGCCUCAGUCGUCCAUGCGCACUGAAGAAAUUCACACCGAUUCUGAAGAAAGACAACCUUCUCUUCAAACCAUUGAUGAAGAAAUUCCAGCUGCAACUGUUGAUGAGACUGCACAACAAGACCUAACGAUGGAUGUCGCCAAUACAUCCCCUCAACACGAAGAAUCGGUUCCUUCAGCAGAUACUAACACUGUUCCAACUGCCACUACUGAAGAAAUUGCUAAAUCACUUAUUGUCACUGAUCCACAAGAUUCAACUGGCUCUCCAAGACUAGUGUUUGAUGUGAGGCUGAAGAAAAUCAAUCUUCAACCAGUUCCGGUCAUGCCCAAGAUUGGCAGAAGCCUCAGGUGACCACAGUUCAAUAAUGCCAAAUUCUUCGAAGAGAAGACAUUCUUUAUAGGUGAGUCACCAUAUGACUUAGCCAAGAUCCGGCGUCUGCGAUUCAGGACCAAGACGCAAAUGAACUACUAUGCUUCAUUGCUGUUUGAGAAGAACAAGAUCUUCCCGCAUCGUCAUAUUCCUCAUGUGGACAUGGAAUCCAUUCCAUACUUCCGGCCAGUUUUGGUUGUUCUUCACGAUGUUGGGUUGCUUAGUUUCUGUUCGGAUGUCUAUGACUGGAAUGAAGUACUCAUUCUUUAGUUAUAUGCCGCAUUGCACUUCUCAGGAAAUGCUGACGACAUUGCGACAUGGGCUCUGGAUUGGAUGAGUGAAGACACUCCCUACAAGGCACCUGUUGAUGAAUCAUUGCGUGCUCUUCCCGUCAAUCCACCUCAAGAAGAAGGCAGAAAGAUCUAUGAAGAACGUGCACUUCCACAUCAUUUGAUGCAAGUACUGAUGAAGCCAUUGGCUGAAGGAGAAGCUCAGAGAACCUCCUUCCAAGUGAAGGAUUUGCUAUAUGUGCCUUGAAAUGUCUACAAGAUUUUGUCCAAGACUCUCAGUCCCAUCAAAGGACACAACUCCAUAACUGAAGAAGUUGUGGGAGUUAUGAAGAAUCUGCUCUUUCAUAUCAUACAUGGCACUCCCAUCAACAUUCACUAUUUCUUCAUGAGGACUCUGGUCACAGUGGCCCAGUCACCCUUCGAUUUGAAGCUGUAUGCUCCAUGGAUCAUGAGAUUCAUCAGAUCCCAGUCUUCAAUCAACUACAGUGCUGAUGCACAGAAUCAUCUCGUGUUUCUGCCAGAGGUAGAUGUUCUUCCAAGCACAAUCUCCUCAGUUCCUGGAAAAGGCAAGGCAGUCAUUGAUGAAGGAAUUCGCCCCCUGGAUGGACAAUUUGGUCAGCUUUCCUCCCACCUCCCACUCAACUGGGGAUGAACUACAAGCCAGGACACUACUGCAAAGGCGUCAAGGCCAUCUCCUCAGCCAGAAGCACCAUGUGUCAUGACUGACCGUGAACUCCUCAUCAGCCUGCACCAGAAAAUUGACAGAAAUCACGAUUGGGUUAAGCGUCAACUUGUUGCUAUUAACGCCAAUAUGACUGUGACGCAUAACUCUGCUUGCAAGAACCACUACUAUGCCCACGAGAUAUUUGAUAGUACAUGGGCCAUACUUUCACAUCUGAAGACCGAUGACGAACUUGCUGCAAUGACUUCCAUAUGAACUUUGAUUGGGCAAAUCCACCCAAGAAGAAGUUCAAGAAGGUUCAAGUUCCUCCUCUCGUCCCAAGCUUGGUGUCUCCAUCGCGCUCAGCUGACGAAGUGCAGUAGCAAUAAAUGCGAGAAUAUUGACUUCCAUAAAAUAAAGAUGUUGAAGACACUGCAGCAGGCCCUUCUGCUUCACGCGACCCCGACAAUGAAAGCCCAGGUUUACUCCCGAGGGGGGUGAAUAGGAGAUUUUUAGAAAUUCGCAAACUCUAAUGAAUUUGACAAAGAUCAGAGUGAAGAAAUAGAAACACGCGGGAAACUAAGUCAUCACAGAAUCAUAGUACAUGCCAUUAGGAUACGUAAUAGUGAAGAACUUGUAAUCAGAUGAGCAUACACGCAUGAAGAAUAUGAACUGCGGAAAAGAAGGAUAGCAUGAUGAAAUUCUUCAGUUCAAAUUCGUCAGAAGAUAGAUCACAAAUUAUUCAGUUAGGAAUAAUGUAAGAGAGGGUGAGGAAUUUGAAACCAGGUUGGCCCAGUGAAGACAAUGCAAUUUGGUAGACCAGUUCCAGUUGUAGUAUCAACUGUACGUCUGGUUGAGGUGGCUGAGUCACAACUCAGAGGACACACAAUCCUCACUGUAUUCCUCUUGAGCUAAGGUCAUUUAGUCCUCACCCAAUCACUCGUGGUAAAUCUUCAAGGUAGACUUCCAAAACCUUCACAGACUUGUUCACCGACACACCACAAUGCCUCUUGGUGUACUCAGAACUUGACGCCUAACCGUUUGGAAGAAUGACGGGCUUCAAAGGUAACAGGCAUCAGAUCACACAGAUCAAUCUCUUCAGUGAUGCUCAGUCACUUUGGCUGUGGGUUUUUCCUUAACUAGGAUUCUCUCAAAGUCGUCAGAGGAUAGGUUGCUCUCAAAUGACAAGUGUCAAGUUCUCUCGGAGCAGCCAACCAAGAAGUGGUUGUGGGGCGGCUAUUUAUAGGCAGGGCAACCCGACAUGAAUUGUCAUAAAUGCCCUUCUCUGAUUUGACCAUUGUCAGGAUAAGAAUCCACUCAACAGCUGGCCUGCGGCGCAGCAACGGUCAGAAUUUGAGCUCUCAAAUUCGUUAGGGCACUCAAUUUCCUCACGGUAGGCAGAUCGCACUGGCGAACUCCUAACUCCUCAGCCUGACCAAAUUCGUCAGCGACCAGAUGAACUUUGUCACUGUCGCUAGCGAAUGCGUUAGCUGUUUCAGAUAUUUCCAAAGGCUUCACUCGAAGCGGCUUGUGUAUGAGUAGGUUUGAGCAUCACUUUAGAAAUGUGAAAUAUGUUCCACCUAGACCCCCUUUAACAUUAUGAUUUUUUCCUAUGACUCAAAUAAGAAGAAAGAAACUAUGAAUAAAAGUCUUCAAGCUUCAAAGUCUUCACAUCAAUUUCUUCAAAGGCCGUACCAAUUUCAUCACCAAAUUCUUCACUUGAAGAAAUCCAUUUUUAGGGGUCGUCUUCCAUGUGUUAAACCAAAUAUUCAGGGACUCUAACUCCAGUGUAUACUCAAAAACACAUUAGUCCCUCAACCAUUUUUUCUUCAAUACUCCAAAACCACUAAGGGAGCACUUGAUGCACUUACAGACAAGAACACUGUCGCUCCUCCAACUUAUUCAUGAUGAUAUUAUUCAUGGGCGUUAGUUCUCUGUUUUGUCUCAUUUUGGUCAUUUGAUGACAAAGGGGGAGAAGCCUGAGUUAGUCUUCAAGCAGGUCGUUAUAUGGGUUGUUUUUUUGCCAAGUUACAACGCUUGGACUUUAUUUGAUUCGCUCUUUGAUGAGUUGUAACUUAAAUAACUGUUGGUGGUCUGACUCUUUUGCUACAUUUCAUACGCAUGCCCUGGUCUUUAAUAUAUCUGCUCAUGCACGCACAAUUUCGUCAGACACCAAUUUUCAUCAUGCAUUCAAAUUCUUCAAUAUCUUAUGAUCAUGCAUGAUUGGAUUCCAAGAUACAAGGGGAGAUCACCACAAUUCCAAACUGCCAUGUGCAUUUGCAAUCCAAAGCGAAUUCUUCAUAUGCACAUCUUCACGGGGAGUUCCUCAAUAUCUUGUAACCAAUUUCUUCAUACUCGGUACUUACACUUCCAUUAUUUACUCCCAUUGAAAAUCUAACCAAUUUGUCAUCAAUCACCAAAAAGGGGGAGAUUCUAAGUGCACCCAGUGCCCCCUUAGUGGUUUUGGAGUAUUGAAGACAGAUGGGUUGAAGGACUAAUGUGUUUGUGAGUGUACAAAGGAGUUAUAGUCCCUGAAGAUUAGGUUUAACCCAUGGAAGACGACCCCUAAAAAUGUAUUUCUUCAAGUGAAGAACUUUGUGAUGAAAUUGGUAUGACCUUUGAAGAAAUUGAUGUGAAGACUUUGAAGCUUGAAGACUUUUGUUUUCCUAGUUUCUUUCUUCUUAUUUUGAGUCAUAGGAAAAAACCGUACUAUUAAAGGGGGUCUAGGUGAAUCAUAGUUCACAUUUCCAAAGUGAUGCUCAAACCUAUACACACACAAGCCGCUUCAAGUGAAGCCUUAAGAAAUCUCUGGAACAGCUAGCGAAUUUGCUAGCAACAGUGAUGAAGUUCAUUUGGUCGCUGACGAAUUUGGUCAUGGUGAGGAGUUAGGAUUUCCCUAGUGCAAUCUGCCUAUCGUGAGGAAAUUGAGUGCCCCAACGAAAUUGAGAGUUCAAUUUUCCAGCAGUUGCUGCGCCGCGUGCCAGCUAUCGAGUGGAUCCUUCUCCUGAUAAUAGUCAUGCCCGAGAAGGGCAUUUAUGACAUUUCAUGUUGUGUUACCCCCUGGCUAUAAAUAGCCGCCCCCACAACCACUUGUUGGUUGGCUGCUCUGAGAGAACUUGACAAUUGUCAUUUCAGAACAACCCAUCCUCUCACGACUUUGAGAGAAUCCUAAGUGAGGAAAAAGCCACAAGAGCCAAAGUGAUUGAGCAUCACUGAAGAGAUUGAUUUGUGUGAUCCGACGCCUGUUACCUUUGAAGAUUGUCAUUCUUCCAGACGGUUGCGUCAUGUUCUGAGUAACCAAGAGUCAUUAUGGUGUGCCGAUGAACAAGUCUGUGAAGGUUUUGGAAGUCUACCUCGAAUACUUACCACGAGUGAUUGGGCGAGGUCUAAGUGACCUUGGCCCAAGAGGAAUAUGGUGAGGACUGUGUGUCCUCUGAGUUCGUCUCAGCCACCUCAACCAGGCGUAUAGUUGAUACAGCAACUGGAACUGGACUACCAAAUUGUUGUGUCUUCACCGAGCCUACCUGGUUUCAAAUUCCUCAUUCCUACCUUUAUUUUAUUCCACUGUUGAAGAAUUUGUUAUCUACCCUCUAACGAAUUUGAACUGAAGACUUUCAUCAUGUUGUCUUUCAUUUCCUCAGUUCAACUUCUUCAUGCUUUUAUGCUCAUGCGAUUGCAUGUUCUUCAUCUAUAUGUAUCUUGUAUGCAUGCUUUCCGCUUCUAUGAUGAACUAGUAGCCUCAUGUUUCUAUCUCUUAACUCUGAUCUUCAUCAAAUUCUUUAGAGUUUGAUGNNNNNNNNNNNNNNNNNNNNNNNNNNNNNNNNNNNNNNNNNNNNNNNNNNNNNNNNNNNNNNNNNNNNNNNNNNNNNNNNNNNNNNNNNNNNNNNNNNNNNNNNNNNNNNNNNNNNNNNNNNNNNNNNNNNNNNNNNNNNNNNNNNNNNNNNNNNNNNNNNNNNNNNNNNNNNNNNNNNNNNNNNNNNNNNNNNNNNNNNNNNNNNNNNNNNNNNNNNNNNNNNNNNNNNNNNNNNNNNNNNNNNNNNNNNNNNNNNNNNNGCUUUCAGAUAUCUUCGAGGAUAAUGGACUGCAUUGAGAACAAUAUCAUCGAGGAAUGACUCAAUGCUUCCAGAGUGAACUCUGAGAAUAAUUCUACCUGCAAAAUAUAUUCUCAAGAAAUAUUACGGCAGGGGUUUAUUAACAUUACAACCACUUCAGAGUAUCACUAGAGUUUUACAACAUGAUAAGAAUCAAAUGGAACACCAAGUGUUGUAAACUCGAGAACAAAAGACCCUGGCAAUAGACCCGCAUCUAAUAACUCUCGAUGUCUUCUCCCCCUUUUUCUCAACAAGGUGAAGAAGAAUAUGAGGUAGUCUACAUGCCCGAAAAAGAAGAAGACGAUAACCCGAAACUGCUCGAUGAAAAUGAAACUUGAGAAUCAUCAACCAUGUUGUCGGUUGAAUUCACUUCUGAGGGAUAAUCUUCAGUGCAAGUGACAACAUUUCCUUAAGCUUCAUUUCCUUCGGGAAAAACUGGGUUAGUUGGGCCAUUUGUGUUUUCCUAGUGAGUAUUCUCGUCACCUUCCUUGAACAGAGGUUAGGUGGGUUCAGAUUUUUUGAUAAUAUCAUCCUCACUGAGAAAAAUUAGAUCAAUUGUAGUUGAUUUUGUUCGAAGGGGAUGAGUAUCUCUUCUCUUCCGAUUAUUCUCAAAGGCGUUAAUGUAAUCAUAUUUCUUCUUGAUUCCAACCUUCUUGAGUUGAUCCUUGGAAUAAAAUUUCCUGAAAAGUUUCCAGGUACAACGUUUGUCUUCCUUCACUGUGAGAAGAAUCCGCCUUGUUGUUUUCCUUCACUAUGAGAAGAAUCCGCCUUGUUGUCUUAGCAACAUGAUUUAUCUCAGAGGCAAUGUGCUCUUUUUCUUUGCAGUCUUGACGCAGAUGUUUCCUCAAGCAGUUGUUGUGUGCGGACACGAACUUCAUAGAGCAAAGGAUUUUUUGUGUUAGAGAGCACCACAUUCUUCUCUUUUAUCUUGAUAGAUUUUCCCUUAUCAUUAUCUUUCAAGACCUGCAGUGUGUCGCCACAGGAGGUGUGUAGUACUUUGGGCAUGAAGACAAAUGUAUCGCUUGCCUUGAGCCAUGUUGAGAAGUUUCUGGAUCCAAGGAGCAUAAAGUUACUUCAAUAGCAUCCACCAGGUUACUAAGGAAUAUAUAUUCAAUGUUGAACAUGCCACAACAUGAUACAGCAUAUAGAGUAUUCCUUAGUACACUUGAAAUCUGACUAGGACAAGCAGGAGCAGAGAGUUUUGCAUAACAUCUUGAAGAAUAUGUGAUGAUUGAACUCGAUACCAUUGGGAUCGAGGUUACUGGAAGCAUCAUCUCGAACUCUGUUUGGAUCCAUCAGAAGGUGCACUUGUUCAUCAGUAACAUUCGAGAAGUGAAUUCCAUAUUCCAUGCCAUUUUCUUCAAAUCGAGGGAAAUCCAGGAUUUCUAACAUCUCAGAUGCGGAGCAAAAGAACUUGUUUCCUUAGACAUCCAUUUGAAAGCCUAUGUCUUUGCUAUCUGUUCUUUCUCCCUAGACAUAAAGGGUAGCAUAGAAUUAAAGAAUAAGCUCCUUGUUUGAUCCAUCGUUGAACACAAGAAUUUUCCUCAAAUGAAGUUCAUCAAUUUGGGCUAGAACAUCUUUGAAACAGGGCAACUGGCACAUAGAUGCAAUGUUAAGAAAUUCAUGCUAAAAGAUUCAAUUCUUGAAGCAGAAAAUUCUCUCAUGGAAAGUGGCAUGUUUAGUGGUCCAAAACUAAGGGGUAUGAACAGUUGUCUUCAUCAUAAGGACUCUUCUAGAAGAAGGCCAACUUGAAUUUGUGAAGAGUUCCAUUAAACAGCGUACCAUGAAUACCAUAACCUUCGAGAAAAAAGAGGAUUUUCUCUCGGGGAUUGGGGCGAUGUAAUUCUUCAUUCUCAUCAUUAGAAAUUUUAACUUCAACAUCUAGUGCUGCUUUAUUUUCAUCAACCAGUGGCAGCUGAGAUUGAGAGGAUUGAUCAAUGUUAACCUUCUCAGACUGCGACACACUUUUGUCGAAAGCAGACCCAAACCAAAUAUAUAUCAUGUUAUUUUCCUUUUCGACACUCUUCUUAGUGUUAUUCUUCUCAGGCACAAGGGACUUUUCUUGAUUUCCAUCAACAUGAGGUGGCAUUGGGGUUGAAUCAACAUUCUUUUUUAACGGCAGCACUAGGGCCUUGUUAGCACUUUCUCAACAACAAUUUAUUCAUGAGACCUUGGCUAAUCUUAUUGUUAUUCUCACUCUCAUCAACAUGGUUGUUAUUGCGAGGAAUAUUACCACUAUCAAUUUCCAUCUAAGAUUGUUGCUCGGUGAAGAGGUCAUGAACUGAUUCUUCUCGGUGAGCACUUGGAUCAACAAGGUGUUCCUUCAUUCCAGGAACCCAUUCGAAAAAAACCUCAAAUUAAUCGUGCUUGGCUUAGAGUAAUUUUAGCAUGGAUGACCGACUAAAAAAUUAUUCUGGAUGCGCACGAAUGAGGAUAAAAUGCUCUGGAAAGAUUACUGUUGGUCUGUGGGGUCAGCCUAGAUCCAGGGGCAACGGCUAGGAACCGAUGGGUUUGAUCGGGGCGUUACACACCUCUUGGCGGAGCGCACAUCUGUCGUCGCAGCCAUGGUUGACGCAGACCUGGACAUUGUCGACAUAGACCGAGGACGAUGGCAACGUCGACAGCUCUACCUUGGUCACGUCGGCCCCCAAUGACUAUGAGCCUUGAUUGUCUGGCAAAGGGUCCUCAAACUCACCUCCGACGAGGAGUUGAUAGAAUUUUUUUUGUUACUAGCAAAUAUACCCGUGCAUUGCAACGGGAGAACAGAUCACCGAUCAUACACACACUCGAUGACAUCAGCAAAUCCAUUGAAAUUUUUCAUGAUGCCACAGAACAAACAACAUGAUAAGUGGUGUUGCGCAAAAAAAAGGUGAGAUGAUUUUCUUUAGUGUACUAAAGGUGUUUCCAAAAUUCUUUAUGGACACAAUUUCAAACAUAUACUCCCUCCGAUCGUUUUUAGUGUGCAUAUAAAUUUUGUUCAAAGUCAAACUAUCUCUACUUUAUGCAAACUUAUAGAAAAAAUAUCAACAUUUGGUCAAACUUUGUAAGGUUUGACUUGACAAAAAUCUAAUACACAGAGUAAAAAGGACCGGAGGGAGUAUAAUAGGCAUUUUCAAAAUACCCCAUAUAAAGAAGGUAUUAAUUAAGGCACCAUAAAUAUAAUUUUAGAAGAAAAAACAUGCAAGAUAGUAGCAUAUUUGGAAUCUACAUAUUUUUCUAAGGGAUUUUCAUAUAUAGCAUGUUAGAUUUAGAAUUGGGGUUUGAAAGAUAAGAAUAUUUCAAAAAGCAUUUGAAUAUGUCCGGGAAAAGAAAAAGGUUAAAUAGAGACUUACUGGGCUGAAUGCAGCCAGUCUUCUAAGUACUACCUCCGUCCUACCGAAGGCAACGACCCAUGUAUUGAACCGAAAUGUUUUUUCACACGUAGCGGUGUCAUUGGGUGUUAUUUUUCUCAACUAUAAGGGUAAUUCUAUGACGGGCGGAAAGAAACAAUAGCCCCUUUAUUAUUACUAGUAAAAGAGCCCAUGCGUUGCAACGGGAGAGAAAACAUAACACACGCUCUUAACUCAACAACCAUCACUCAAGACCACAAUAGGUCCAUCUCCUUUAUUUUUGCGAGGCAUCAUAUUUGUGUUGCCGCUUAUCCUCCUUCUCACCCUCGGCGGCGAUGGCCUCGGUGUUCACACAAAACAACAAAAAGCAUGUGUUGAAUAUGGUUAAUUCUAAGGCGUCUCCCUCUCCCUCUCUCCUCCCUCUCCCUCUCACUCUCUCUCUCUCUCGCUCACUUUCUCUCACUCUCGCGAUGAGAAAUCUGUUGUUUUCCCCUGCGACAUUUUUCAGAGGUAUGCAUGUGUAGUUAUCGAUGUUUUCUUCACCGUAUAUGGAUAUAGUGGGGUGUUUAUUUGCAAUCCAGAUCGCCGCUGGUAUGAAAAAAAGGAUCUUGCGCUAUAAAUUAUAAGUUUGCUUCCGUAACAAUAUUUUAAAAAUAUUUAACAUGUAAAAUUAACAUUAUAUUUAGAUUCCACACAUUUUUCUAAUAAAAUUUCAUAUAUAAUAUGUUAAAAUCGAAGUUACGGUUUAAAAGAUACAUAUAAUUUAGAAAAUCAUUUGGUUUGACUCAAAUAUAUUCCAAAAUAAUAUAAAAUACUUAACAGGUAAAAAUAAUCUCAUAUUCAUAUUCUACAUAUUUUUCUAAUCAAAUUUCAUAUAUAACAUGUUCAAAUCGGAGUUAAGGUUUAAAAGAUAUGGAUGAUUUUAAAAAGCAUUUGUUUGACUUAAAUAUGAUCCGCGGAUUAAUUACCUAAAACAUGAGGGGGGUUUCGAAAAAUGUAAAAUAACGGUUCGGAUGUGACUUAAAUUCGGACGGCGGGUUGAUUUCAAGAAAAGACAGGGACUUUUGUGUAAAAUAUGAAAAUAACUAUUCGUUUUAACUUAAAACAGGACUGCGGGUUGAAUUCUCUGAAAUAGAGGGACUUUUCUAAAAAAUUCCAUGACGGACGAAAGAAACCCAAUUUCUUUAUUAUUAGGUAAAGACUAGCAAAAAAGAGUCCGUGCGUUGCAACGGAAAAGAAAAUAACACACGCUCUUAACUCAAUAAUCAUGACUCAAGACCCUAAUAGGUCCAUGUCCUUUAUUUUCACAUGGCAUCACAUUUGUGUUGCCGACUGUAGCCUCAGUGCUCACACAACAAAAAAGCGUAGGCAUCUCUCUCUCGCGCUUGCAUGCACACUCGCUCAGAAUAAGAUGAGAAAUAUGUUGUUUUACCUGUGAGAUUUUUCAGAGGUGUGCAUGCGUGGUUAUCGAUGUUUUCUUUUCUCUCAAUCUGGUUUUAAUGAGUGUUUAUUUGCAAUUCGGAUCGCCGCUGGUACGAAAGAAAAAUGAAUCAUGCACUAUAUAUUAAGUUUACACUAAAAAAAUAAUAUUUUCGAAAUAUUUAACAGCUAAAAAUAACAUCAUACUUAGAUUCUACACAUUUCUCUAAUCAAAUUUCAUACAUAACAUGUUAGAAUCGGAGUUAUAAUUUAAAAGAUAUGUAUAAUUUUGUUUUAGAUAAACUGCGGAUUGAUUAACCGAAAAGUCAGAGUUUUUUUUUUGUUAAAAUAAAAAACGAUUCGGCUGACUUAAAUACGGACCGCGGGUUGAUUAGUAUAAAAGGCAGGGGGUUUUGUGUAAAAUGUGAAAAAAAAGAUUCUUUUUCAGUUAAAGAUGGACUGUGGGUUAAUUAAUAGAAAAGGUAGGGGGUUUUCUGCAAAAAGAUGUGACGGACGACCAGAAGCACUCAGUGCUUUAUUAUUAGGGAAAGAUUAGUAAAAGAACCCGUGCGUUGCAUCGGAGAAAAAAUAGCACACGCGCUUAACCCAAUAACCAUGACUAAAGACCACAAUAGGUAUGCGUCCUUCAGUUUAGCAGGGCAUCGCAUUUGUGUUGCCGCUUAUCCUCCUCAUCCUCAUCAGCGAUGACCUUAGUGUUCACACAGAACGUGUUUGAACAUGUUUUGAUGGAUGUUUAUUUGCAAUCCUUUUCUAAGUUAUAAGUUUGCUUCUAAAAUGAUAUUUUAAAAAUAUCUAAUAGGUAAAAAUAGCAUAAUAUUCAGACUCUACAUAUUUUUCUAAUCAAAUUUCAUAUAUAACAUGUUAAAAUUAAAGUUACGGUUUAAAAGAUAUGGAUAAUUUAGAAAAGCAUUUGUUUGACUGAAAUAUGAUCCGCGGGUGAAUUAGUUGAAAAUCAGGGGGUUUGCGAAAAAUGCAAAAAAAACCGGUUCGACUAUUACUCAAGUAUGUACUGCGGAUGGAAUACUAAAAAAACCAAGGUUUUUUCUGUGAAAUUAUCGACAAACAGCCAAAUGCACUAAUGACUUUAUCUUUUCAUCAAUUUUCACCAAUUUAUAUACGUUCCUGAAGCAAGAAGUUGUUUCAGGAAUUAACAAAUUGGAUGAAGUGUGAUGUGAAUCUGAUCUCCCUGGGAGCGGAGAGAGGCCAAACGGGAUAUGGUACACAGAGAGUGGAGUCGAGAAAGGACUGGCGGCAGUAGUGGCUACAGUCUCAAGCAGCAGUCCGAGGCACAUGACGGCUAUAGCCGACGAAGCUGCAGAGGUGGCGCUGGGUGCGCUUGCUGGAGACGACUCGCUUCGCCGUAGGAAGCCGAAGGGAAGACGGGGAGCCAGCUCUGGCACGGUGAUGCAGGAGAAGGGGGCGAUGCAGCUGGUCAAGGCUGAAAGCUGAAUAAAACUGUUGCUUGUUGAUAAUUUGGUGCGACAUACAAGAGUAUAUAAGAGGGUACAAACCGACUUGGGGUAGGGGUACAAAACUGACUUGGACUAGAAGUCGUAUACCAUAAUGACUACUCUAACAUCCCCCCGCAGUAUCAACGGGAGGCUCGACGACGUUGAGACUGAAACAGAUAUCUUGAAACGGCUUAGUAGGCAGUGCCUUGGUGAAAAUGUCAGCAAACUGAGCCGUAGAAGGAACAUGAAGCACCCGAACCUGACCAAGAGCAACCUUUUCACGAACAAAAUGAAUAUCAAUCUCAAUAUGCUUUGUACGUCGGUGUUGAACUGGAUUGCUGGUCAUGUAGACUGCUGAUAUGUUGUCACAGUAGACAAUAGUGGCCUGCUCAAUAGGCCUGUGUAGCUCGGAGAGUAACUGCCGAAUCCAGAUUGUAUCUGCAACGGCAUGUGCCACAGCGCGAUACUCAGCCUCGGCCGACGAACGUGAGACUGUAACCUGUCUUUUCGAAGACCAAGAAAAACACGAAAACCGGAAGUGGACCUUCGAGUGUCAGGACAACCAGCCCAGUCUGCAUCAGAGUAUGCGGUAAGCGAGUUUGGAGAAGAAUUAUUGAGGUGGAGACCAUGAUUGAAAGUUCCUUUUAAAUACCGAAGAAUGCGUUUAACAUGAUUAUAGUGAGGAACCCGGGGAUCAUGCAUAUAGAGACAUGCUUGUUGAACAGCAAAAGAGAUUUCAGGACGAGUAAUGGUGAGAUAUUGGAGAGCACCUAUUAGGCUACGAUAGAGAGUAGGAUCGGAAAAGGGUUCACCGGUAGCCGAAAGUUUAAAACUAGUAUCGACAGGAGUGCGAGAUGAUUGACAGUCAAGCAUACCAGCACGAUUAAGAAGAUCAAGAAUAUACUGGCGUUGGGAAAGAAAAAGGCUGGAGGAAUCGCGAACAACAGCAAUGCCUAAGAAAUGAUGAAGGAGUCCUAGGUCAGUCAUAGAAAAUUCAGAUCUAAGAAGAGAGACAAUAUGAUCUAAGAACUUUUGAGAGGAGGCGGUAAGAAUGAUAUCAUCUACAUAGAGAAGUAAAUAGGCAGUGUCAGAAGUUUGAUGAUACACAAAAAGAGAGGUGUCGGAGAGAGAUGGAGUGAAGCCUAUUGUUUGAAUGAAGGAGGAGAAGCGUUGAAACCAAGCUCGUGGGGCCUGUUUAAGACCGUAGAGACAUUUCUGAAGAAGACAUCCAUGAGUUGGAAAGGAUGGAUUUUCAAAACCCAGAGGUUGCUGGCAGUAGAUAGUUUCUUGAAGGGAACGAUGGAGGAAAGCAUUUUUAACAUCAAGUUGGUGAAUGGGCCAUGAAGAGGAGACAGCAACACUAAGAACGGUGCGAAUGGUGCUAGGUUUAACAACAGGAGAGAAGGUUUCUUCGUAAUCAAUUCCUUGUUGCUGAGAAAAGCCACGACAAACCCACCUGGCUUUAUAUCGUGAGAGGCUCCCAUCGGAGUGGAACUUUUGGCGAAAAAUCCAUUUGCCAGAAACAAUAUUUAUAUUGGGAGGACGAGGAACAAGUUGCCAGGUGUUGUUUUGAAGUAAAGCAUUAUAUUCUUCUUGUAUGGCAGCGACCCAAUUGGGAUCAAGUAGAGCAGUUUUGUAAUUCUUUGGAAGAGAAGUGAGAGAUACGGAGGUAUGAAGGUUUAGGCGGUCUUGGGGUUGAUGAAAUCCUGAUUUGGCCCUAGUACGCAUGCGAUGAUCAUUAAUCGGGGCUGCUGUAGGAAUAGCACGAGGGGGUAAGGUGGGUACUGGUGAGUCCGGCGCAGCGGAAGAGUCGGACGAAGGAGUAGGGCUGGGUGGUGGAGUGGGAGCAGGGCUGGGUGGUGGAGUAGGAGUAGGGGUCGGGGGUGUCGGGGAGGGAGCAGGAGUCGGGGGUGUUGUGGACGUCUCGGGUGGGGUGAGUGUAUGGUUGGGAUUGGCUAUGGUGGGUGUUAAUGGUGGUGGUGAUAAGUUGUGUUCGGCAGGUAGGGGAGUAUAUAGUUGGAAAGGAUGGGGAGAGGGGGUGUUUGCGGAGCUAGGGGUGUUGGAUGGUGUAGUAGUGUGUUGUGAGAAAGGAAAAAUGUGCUCAGCAAAUGUGACAUGACGAGAGACAUGAACGUGUCCGGUGUGAAGGUCGAGACAGCGAUAGCCUUUGUGCUCGUCAGAGAAGCCGAGAAAAGCACAUGGGAUAGAGCGUGGUGACAAUUUAUUUGCAGAAGUGGCGUAGGCAUUGGGAAAACAGAGACAGCCGAAAACACGAACCGCGGAGUAGUCGGGGUGGGAAAGAAAGAGGGAAUAAUAGGGAGUAGUGUUGGGUUUAGUUUUAGAAGGUCGAAUAUUUAGAAGGAAGGUGGCCAUGUGUAGGGCUUCAACCCAAAACUUGGGAGGCAUAGAUGAUUGAAUGAGGAGAGUGCGAACUAUAUCAUUGAGGGUGCGAAGAGAGCGUUCUGCUUUACCAUUUUGAGGGGAGGUGUAGGGACAUGAGAACCUAAGCAGGAUGCCAUGUUGUAAGAAGAAAGUACGAUUUUUAAUGUUAUCAAACUCGCGACCAUUGUCACAUUGGAUAAAGCGAAUUGGGAGGAAGAAGUGAACAGACACAUAGCGUUGAAAAUUAAGGAAAAGAUAAUGGACCUCGGAUUUGUUGCGUAGAGGAAAAGUCUAGACAAAGUGGGUGAAAUCAUCUAGGAUAACAAGGUAGUAUUUAAAACCCGAAACACUUGCAAUGGGAGAGGUCCAUAAAUCACAAUGUAUUAAUUCAAAGGGAUAAGUGCUACAAGAACUAGAGGAACUAAAGGGAAGACGCACAUGUUUGCCUAAUUGACAAGACUCGCAAAACACAGAAUUAUGAGAGUCCCUAUUACAUGGUAUGGUAAAUUCACUAAGCAUAGAAGCUAAGACGGCGGGGUUGGGAUGGCCCAAGCGACGAUGCCAGAGAUCGACGGAGGCCGGCAUGGAUGUUGGAGGGGUGGCGGCAGGAAUUCCAUUAAGAGAAUAAAGAUCACCGAAGCUAUUGAAGCGAGCGAUCUCGGCCUUGGUCAGGUAAUCCUUCACAGAUAAACCAAAAGGGUCAAAUUCAGCCGAAACUAGAUUGUCGCAAGUAAAUUGGCGAACAGAGAUAAGAUUUUUAAUGAGGGCGGGUGCAACUAGAACAUCGCAAAGUAAAAGAGGUUUGGUGGAAGAGGGAAGUUGAGCCUGACCAACACAAUAUAUAGGAAUAGAUGAUCCAUCUCCAAGGAUAAUGGAAGGGAAAGGAGAUUUAGUGCAAGAAGAUAACCAAUUACUAGAUGCAGACAUAUGACUAGAGGCCCCUGAAUCAAAGAUCCAAUCCGUACCUGAGUUUCCUUGUGCAGCAAAGUUAUUCAUGGCCUGGAGAAAGGCAGCUUGAUCCCAGCUCGGCGUCGCAGGUGAGGGUGGCAUCGGAAGCAGUGCCGGCGGAUACGAUGGUGAAGGCAGUAGGGCCGGCUGGGGAGUGUAGUAGGCAUUGGCCGGCUGUGGUGGGGGUGGCGUCGGGAGCAGGGCCGGCUGAGGUGUGUAGUAGGCGCCGCCGUCGGUGCUGUAAUGACCAUAAGGAGCAUACGUCGGGGCGGCGUGAUAGGCAUUGGCCGGCCGUCGGGGGUUGAGAACCCCGGGAGCAUCAGUAGGCGGCCGAAGGCCGGGUUGCCAGGCACCUGAGUAUGCCGGCAGAGCACCGAGGGUGGACGGAGCGGACCAGGGCAUGGGCCAUGCUUGAACAAGCCCCGUCCAAGGAUCAUGAGGAGGCCGCCAUGCAACCGCAGAUGGAGCAUUGGUGGGUGGUGCAGGACUCGGUGCUGGUGAUGUCGUAGGCGGAACCGAGCGAGUUGACGGCGGCCUGUAGAUAGGGUUUUUGCCGCGGUAGUUCGGACUAGGACGCCAGCCUGGGGCGGUUGAACAGAUGACGAUGCGGACGGCCAGGCGGCAGGAGCUGGCCUGGAAGGCGGCGCUGGUGUAGACGACAGAGGAGGAUGAGCCGCAGCAUGAAAGAUCUUGGGGCGAGAGUCCUUGCGAGCUUGUGUUUCCGCCGCGAGUUGUAGCAAGGAACGAACUUCAGCGAAGGUAGGAGGGGGCCGUAUCAUCGGUAUGAACGAGGCUUGCUUGUCAAAGUCUUCGCUGAGGCCGACGACGACGAUAUUGAUUAGCUGUGAGUCGCUAACUGUAUCGCCGAGUUCGCGGAGCUCAUCACCAAUGGUCUUAACGCGCUGGCAGAACAGGUUCACCGGGGCGUCUCCUUGCACCAUAUUGCGAAGCUCGGUGUGGAGAGCGUUUUUCCGAGCGUCGGUGUUGCUUUGGAAGAGCUGACGGAGGGAGUGCCAGAUGUUGGCAGCGGUGGCGCCGUCGUGAUCGAGCAUGUUGAGAUCUCGGUGGUGAUGCGGGUGUAGAACCACUGAACGAUCGUGAGAUCGUCUUUCAACCAUUGCGGAUCGUCGGGGCGGGGAAGACAGUUGGCGGCGACAUGCGAGCGCAGGUUGCAGCGGCCGAGCUGGAGAUCGAAGAGAUGUCUCCAAUGGUAGUAGUUGUGGGCGGCGAGAUCAAGAACUAUGGGGAUGUAGGGGCUGACGUCGGAGAUUGUGUCAGCAAGAGAUAUUGGUGCGGCGAGGAUGGGUGCAGGAUAGUUUUGUGGAGCUAUGGUGAGAGCCGAGAGAGAAGCGGCCGCGGCGUUGGCAGCCUUGGCGAUGAGUGCGGCCUGGCGCUCGAAGUAGCCGGGCGGCGGCGGCGGCGGCGUUGGCGGAGCCAUACCCUACACCCUAGGACCGGUAUCUGAUACCAUGAAAACUGAAUAAAACUGUUGCUUGUUGAUAAUUUGGUGCGACAUACAAGAGUAUAUAAGAGGGUACAAACCGACUUGGAAUAGGGGUACAAAACUGACUUGGACUAAAAGUCGUAUACCAUAAUGACUACUCUAACAAAGGCGUCGGACGGUGGCUCGAGGUUGCUCCAUGGUGUGCGGCCAUGGACAUCUUCCGCAUCGACGACCUCUGCUGCCAGCAGCACUGCGAUUGCAGCCUAACGACCGUCGUAUAUACAAAUUUGAAUCCUUACGGCUUUUUUAGGCAACCUGAAUCCUUCUGUAAACCACGUCUUGUCCGUUUGUUCGCGCGUCAAAAUAGUUGGGUGGGCUUUUGUGUCGGCCAAAUGGGCCUUUGGCCUGAUGGGAAGGAUGUGGAAAGGUUGAUAUUUGUUAGGCAAAAUUUUAAUUGAUUCUAGAAAAAGGUGAAAUUUUAAUUAUCCCUAAAAAUGGGUAAAAAUUUAUGUCCAUGUGAAGCCGUGUGGUGCUAUGGUUGUUUUCUCUAUUUGUUUGUUUCUAUAUAUGGUCAAGGUGCCUAGGUUUAAUUGGGAAAUAAGAAAGUUGCAAUUAGUUGAUUUUUCUUGAUUUUUCUUCAUCGCAAUGCAUGGGCAUUCAACUAGGUAUCUCUUUAUGUAGAAAAAUGCACAUACGUGAGUGUUCUCCCAUGACAACGCACUAACCUUUUUUUUUCCGUUACAACACACUUGCUAGUUAUUACACUUAUUAGGUAUAGAUAAGUAUUUUUAUGGGAUCUAGAUACCCAUAUGAACUGAAGCAGACAAAAGUUACUGUCUUCUGCUUCCAUUAACUUGUGGACUGAUCAAACCUGCCUGCUACAAGAAGGCCAUUGUGUUUUUCUUCUUUUAGCCUUUGUGGUUAACAGGCUAAAAUCCAGAGAGGCAACAAGAGAAGACAAAAUCAAGCCCCGAAGGUAGUAUCGCUUUCUUAAAAAAUCUAAGGUUUGAUUAGAGUUGGAACGCACCCUACAAGUGUAACAAAGGCCAAAAAUGGCACAAAGCUCACGGUUGCACGGGCAGCCGGUCUACAACUCUACCAUAAAAGGGACGCGGCUAAUCUGCACCCGGGCUCAUAUGCUCCCGGAUGAACAGUACAAUCAAAACUAAAUUCAAAAAAAUUCAAAAAAAUUCAAAUUUUUUUUGAAAGAAACAUUAACAAAAGUUCUAAGUGCCUGCAAAAAUUCAUCAUGAAAUCACAUUCCUAGAAGGCGUGGCAAAAAAGACAAAAACAGUACUCUGAAAAAGCUACUUUCAAACGCAUUUUGGAGCACUGAAUUUGUUUUUUUUGCCACGCCUUACAGGAAUGUGAUUUCAUGAUGAAUUUUUGCAGGCACUUAGAACUUUUGUCAAUGUUUCUCUCAAAAAAAUGAAAUUUUUUAAAUUUUUUUCGAUUUUACUAUUCAUGCGGGAGCAUAUGAGCUGGGGCUCAAAAGAUGACUUUCGCCAUAAAAGUGACUAAACAAAUCAGCCACCACCGAAAACAGAGAUGUAUACAGAAGAAACAAGAGACUGCACAAGAUACCAACACUGGAAUGCAACGAAGAACCAACAUGGCGAACCAACAUGGCAAAACCACCCCGAAACACCAUGGAGUUCACCAACCUAGCAAGAAACCACAAUGUCAAAGCAGGAGUAGUUCACAAACCAAAGCAAAUGCAAGAUGGCAAAACGGAUCUCAGAACAUCACAGGCAGAACAACACAACUAUUCCGUAGAAUUUAGUGCAGAAUAACCAGCAUACCAUCUCAUUUCCUCAUAACCAGGUCCAAGAGUGCAGCAAAAUACCACCACAACCAAAAAGCGAAGCAGAGUCAGCCAAAUGGUGAGGACCCUCCAGGUCGACCGGAACCAGAACCUACUUACAUCUUCCCUACUAGCGUUGUCUCAGAACCACAAAACGGUUAACGGCUGCUCCCAGGCAUUCGACGAAGCCACGCUUCCUUCCAUGCUGGUUAUUCGUGUCACGGACCCGACCUUCACUCAAAGGCCCACUGGUUCUCCUUCCGCACUUCCUCCUCCUCCUCCGGGGUGAAGUCGUUGGUGAUGUUGAAGGUCUUGCGGAUCUCCUCCGGUGUCUUGCCCUUGAUCAUGUCGGCGACGGUCUGGCAGGUCAGGUCCAGGAGCCCCUUGAUGUCCAGGUAGUUGGCAGCCUGUCCAGGCAAAUAAAAGCAAUCAAGGUCAGGCAUCACAUUAAAAAGAUAUAUAAAAACAGGAGCGCCAUCUACAGUACAUAAGUUCAUCAACUACAGGAGAUGUAGCUUCAAUUCAUAUUUAGACAAUACAGUAG